rnacentral:rRNA from 1 species
AUGGCUCCAGCUUCCGCCUCGCUCCUUCCCGCCGCCAGCGCCAAGCGCCCCUUCGCCCCCGACUCUGCCACCGACGCUGCUGAGAAAGAGCAACCACUCGCGCAGGAGAGCGCGGUGACCAAGAAGAACGGACAGAACCAGCAGCAGCAAAAGCUGGAGUGCCCGCGGUGCAGCUCCACCGACACCAAGUUCUGCUACUACAACAAUUACAGCACCACGCAGCCGCGCCACUACUGCCGCACCUGCCGCCGCUACUGGACGCACGGCGGCACGCUGCGCAAGGUCCCCGUCGGUGGCGCGUGCCGCCGCGGCUCCGGUAGCAGCAGCAAGCGCCGCAGAUCUUUCGCCGAGCCCCACACGCCCUCCUCCGGCUCGCCACCACCGCCGCAGCCAAAACAGCAGGACACGCUGCCGCCGCUCCCUGUCUUCCCGCUCCUGACCGACGGCGCCGUCUACCUGCCGCAGUUCGACCUCGGGCUCGGCGGGUUCCCAUGGACGGCACCGGCGGCCACGGACAACCUCUACGACGGGCUCGCGGCGCCGUGGGGUGGCUGUGACGGGGCGCUCGCCCCCACCGGCGCUUGGGACGACUUCGGCGGCCUCGUGCUCACCUGCCCGCCGCCUGCUGGGAACUGA